ACUCAAAGGAAUAGACGGGGGCCCGCACAAGCGGUGGAGUAUGUGGCUUAAUUCGAUGCAACGCGAAGAACCUUACCUGGGCUUGACAUGCAGUGUGUCGGCGGCGAAAGCCGCCUAGUGGAGCAAUCCACACGCUGCACAGGUGCUGCAUGGCUGUCGUCAGCUCGUGUCGUGAGAUGUUGGGUUAAGUCCCGCAACGAGCGCAACCCUUAUGACUUGUUGCAUGGCCUAACGGCCGCGCUCUCUAGUCAGACUGCCCUGUGAAACGGGGAGGAAGGUGGGGAUGACGUCAAGUCAGCAUGGCCCUUACGCCCAGGGCUGCACACGUACUACAAUGUCCAGUACAAAACGCCCCAAAACCGCAAGGUGGAGGAAAUCGCAAAAACUGGGCUCAAUUCGGAUUGCAGGCUGCAACUCGCCUGCAUGAAGCCGGAAUCGCUAGUAAUGGCGCAUCAGAUACGGCGCCGUGAAUACGUUCCCGGGCCUUGUACACACCGCCCGU
rnacentral:rRNA from 1 species